AAGCGGAGGAAAAGAAACCAACAGGGAUUGCCCCAGUAACGGCGAGUGAAGCGGCAUCAGCUCAAAUUUGAAAUCUGGGGCCCUCGGCCUCCGAGUUGUAAUUUGGAGAGGCAUCUUCUGGGGGGAGCGCCGGCCCAUGUUCCUUGGAACAGGACGUCACAGAGGGUGAGAAUCCCGUGCUAGGCUGGCGGCCUCCUCCCGUGUGGAGGGCCUUCGACGAGUCGAGUUGUUUGGGAAUGCAGCUCCAAGUGGGUGGUAAAUUUCAUCUAAAGCUAAAUACUGGCGGGAGACCGAUAGCGCACAAGUAGAGUGAUCGAAAGAUGAAAAGCACUUUGAAAAUAGAGUCAAAAAGUACGUGAAAUUGUUGAAAGGGAAGCGCUUGAGACCAGACUCAGGCCCGGGCAAACACCGCGCUCCUUCGGGGCCGUGCAAUUGUCCGGGCCUGGGCCAGCAUCGGUUGGUGUGGCGGGACAAAGGGGCGGGCAAUGUGGCUCCCCACGGGGAGUGUUAUUAGGCCCGCGCUCAAUGCCGCCGACGUCGACUGAGGACCGCGCCUCGGCUAGGAUGCUGGCUCAAUGGCCUUCAGCGACCCGUCUUGAAACACGGACCAAGGAGUCUAACAUCUAUGCGAGUGUUUGGGCGUCAAACCCUUGCGCGUAAUGAAAGUGAGCGGAGGUGGGAACCCCUCGCGGGGUGCACCAUCGACCGAUCCUGAUGUCCUCGGAUGGAUUUGAGUAGGAGCAUAGCUGUUGGGACCCGAAAGAUGGUGAACUAUGCCUGAAUAGGGUGAAGCCAGAGGAAACUCUGGUGGAGGCUCGCAGCGGUUCUGACGUGC
rnacentral:rRNA from 1 species